CGCCUGUACCAUAACCGACACAGGUGGGUAGGUAGAGUAUACUAAGGGGCGCGAGAUAACUCUCUCUAAGGAACUCGGCAAAAUGACUCCGUAACUUCGGGAGAAGGAGUGCCUUAUUCGUAAGGCUGCAAUAACAAGAUCCAAGCAACUGUUUAUCAAAAACACAGGUCUCCGCUAAGUCGUAAGACGAUGUAUGGGGGCUGACGCCUGCCCAGUGCCAGAAGGUUAAAGAAGUCGGUUAGCAUUAGCGAAGCUGGUAACUGAAGCCCUGGUGAACGGCGGCCGUAACAAUAACGGUCCUAAGGUAGCGAAAUUCCUUGUCGGGUAAGUUCCGACCCGCACGAAAGGCGUAAUGAUUUGGAUACUGUCUCGGAGAGGGGCUCGGUGAAAUAGACUUGUCUGUGAAGAUGCGGACUACCUGCACCAGGACAGAAAGACCCUAUGAAGCUUUACUGUAACUUGAAAUUGAAAUUGGACUUUAUUCGCGCAGUAUAGGUGGGAGGUGUUGAUUAUAAUCUUGCGGGAUUAUUGGAGCCAUCAGUGAGAUACCACUCUUGUAAUGUUAGAUUUCUAACUUUGAAUCAUUAUCUGGUCAAAGAACAGUUUCAGGCGGGCAGUUUGACUGGGGCGGUCGCCUCCUAAAUGGUAACGGAGGCGUACAAAGGUUUCCUCUGAACGGGUAGAAAUCGUAUCUAGAGUGUAAAGGCAUAAGGAAGCUUGACUGUGAGACCUACAAGUCGAGCAGGGACGAAAGUCGGUCUUAGUGAUCUGACGGUACUGAGUGGAAAGGCCGUCACUCAACGGAUAAAAGUUACUCUAAGGAUAACAGGCUGAUCUCCCCCAAGGGUUCACAUCGACGGGGAGGUUUGGCACCUUGAUGUCGGCUCAUCGCAUCCUGGGGCGGUAGUACGUCCCAAGGGUUGGGCUGUUCGCCCAUGAAAGCGGUACGCGAGCUGGGUUCAGAACGUCGUGAGACAGUUCGGUCCAUAUCCGGUGUAGGCGUUAGAAUAUUGAGAGGAGCCUUCUUUAGUACGAGAGGACCGAGAAGGACAUACCUCUGGUGUACCAGUUAUCGUGCCAACGGUAAACGCUGGGUAGCUAUGUAUGGAGUGGAUAACCGCUGAAAGCAUCUAAGUGGGAAGCCCACCUCAAGAUAAGUAUUCUCAUCACGUAAGUGAGUAAGGUCACGGUAAGACUAACCGUUUGAUAGGCAUUAAGUGUAAGUACAGUAAUGUAUGUGCUGAGAUGUCCUAAUAGACCGAGGAC
rnacentral:rRNA from 1 species